rnacentral:rRNA from 1 species
AUUGAACGCUGGCGGCAGGCCUAACACAUGCAAGUCGAGCGGAGCGGCGGACGGGUGAGUAAUGCCUAGGACUCUGCCUGGUAGUGGGGGAUAAAGUUCGGAAAAGGACCCUAAUACCCAAUACUCUCGGAUGAGCCUAGGUCGGAUUAGCUAGUGGGGUGGGUAAAGGCAUACCCAGGCGACGAUCCGUAACUGGUCUGAGAGGAUGAUCAGCCACACUGGAACUGAGACACGGUCCAGACUCCUACGGGAGGAAGCAGUGGGGAAUAUUGGACAAGGGGCGAAAGCCUGAUGCAGCCAUGCCGCGUGUAUGAAGAAGGCCUUCGGAGUGUAAAGCACUUUAAGUUGGGAGGCGUUACCAACAGAAGAAGCACCGGCUAACUUCGUGCCAGCAGCCGCGGUAAUUC